rnacentral:rRNA from 1 species
AAAUUGAAGAGUUUGAUCAUGGCUCAGAUUGAACGCUGGCGGCAGGCCUAACACAUGCAAGUCGAGCGGUAGCACAGAGAGCUUGCUCUCGGGUGACGAGCGGCGGACGGGUGAGUAAUGUCUGGGAAACUGCCUGAUGGAGGGGGAUAACUACUGGAAACGGUAGCUAAUACCGCAUAACGUCGCAAGACCAAAGUGGGGGACCUUCGGGCCUCAUGCCAUCAGAUGUGCCCAGAUGGGAUUAGCUAGUAGGUGGGGUAACGGCUCACCUAGGCGACGAUCCCUAGCUGGUCUGAGAGGAUGACCAGCCACACUGGAACUGAGACACGGUCCAGACUCCUACGGGAGGCAGCAGUGGGGAAUAUUGCACAAUGGGCGCAAGCCUGAUGCAGCCAUGCCGCGUGUAUGAAGAAGGCCUUCGGGUUGUAAAGUACUUUCAGCGGGGAGGAAGGCGAUAAGGUUAAUAACCUUGUCGAUUGACGUUACCCGCAGAAGAAGCACCGGCUAACUCCGUGCCAGCAGCCGCGGUAAUACGGAGGGUGCAAGCGUUAAUCGGAAUUACUGGGCGUAAAGCGCACGCAGGCGGUCUGUCAAGUCGGAUGUGAAAUCCCCGGGCUCAACCUGGGAACUGCAUUCGAAACUGGCAGGCUAGAGUCUUGUAGAGGGGGGUAGAAUUCCAGGUGUAGCGGUGAAAUGCGUAGAGAUCUGGAGGAAUACCGGUGGCGAAGGCGGCCCCCUGGACAAAGACUGACGCUCAGGUGCGAAAGCGUGGGGAGCAAACAGGAUUAGAUACCCUGGUAGUCCACGCCGUAAACGAUGUCGAUUUGGAGGUUGUGCCCUUGAGGCGUGGCUUCCGGAGCUAACGCGUUAAAUCGACCGCCUGGGGAGUACGGCCGCAAGGUUAAAACUCAAAUGAAUUGACGGGGGCCCGCACAAGCGGUGGAGCAUGUGGUUUAAUUCGAUGCAACGCGAAGAACCUUACCUGGUCUUGACAUCCACAGAACUUAGCAGAGAUGCUUUGGUGCCUUCGGGAACUGUGAGACAGGUGCUGCAUGGCUGUCGUCAGCUCGUGUUGUGAAAUGUUGGGUUAAGUCCCGCAACGAGCGCAACCCUUAUCCUUUGUUGCCAGCGGUUAGGCCGGGAACUCAAAGGAGACUGCCAGUGAUAAACUGGAGGAAGGUGGGGAUGACGUCAAGUCAUCAUGGCCCUUACGACCAGGGCUACACACGUGCUACAAUGGCAUAUACAAAGAGAAGCGACCUCGCGAGAGCAAGCGGACCUCAUAAAGUAUGUCGUAGUCCGGAUUGGAGUCUGCAACUCGACUCCAUGAAGUCGGAAUCGCUAGUAAUCGUAGAUCAGAAUGCUACGGUGAAUACGUUCCCGGGCCUUGUACACACCGCCCGUCACACCAUGGGAGUGGGUUGCAAAAGAAGUAGGUAGCUUAACCUUCGGGAGGGCGCUUACCACUUUGUGAUUCAUGACUGGGGUGAAGUCGUAACAAGGUAACCGUAGGGGAACCUGCGGUUGGAUCACCUCCUUA